AUUGAACGCUGGGCGGCAUGCCUUACACAUGCAAGUCGAACGGCAGCACGGGAGCAAUCCUGGUGGCGAGUGGCGAACGGGUGAGUAAUAUAUCGGAACGUGCCCAGUCGUGGGGGACUAACGUAGCGAAAGCUACGCUAAUACCGCAUACGAUCUAUGGAUGAAAGCGGGGGAUCGCAAGACCUCGCGCGAUUGGAGCGGCCGAUAUCAGAUUAGGUAGUUGGUGGGGUAAAAGCCUACCAAGCCUUCGAUCUGUAGCUGGUCUGAGAGGACGACCAGCCACACUGGAACUGAGACACGGUCCAGACUCCUACGGGAGGCAGCAGUGGGGAAUUUUGGACAAUGGGCGCAAGCCUGAUCCAGCAAUGCCGCGUGCAGGAUGAAGGCCUGG
rnacentral:rRNA from 1 species